rnacentral:rRNA from 1 species
UACGGAGGGUGCAAGCGUUGCUCGGAAUUACUGGGCGUAAAGGGCGUGUAGGCGGUUUCGUAUGUCUGGCGUGGAAGCCCCGGGCUCACCUCGGGGAGUGCGUCGGAAACUGCGAGACUAGAGUCCCGGAGAGGGGGGUGGAAUUCCAGGUGUAGCGGGGAAAUGCGUAGAUAUCUGGAAGGAUACCGGUGGGGAAGGGGGCCUCCUGGGCGGGUGCUGGCGCUGAGACGCGAAAGCCUGGGGAGCAAACAGG